rnacentral:lncRNA from 1 species
UCAGGAACUAGAUACCUUCAACAUUUCAGGUUAAAACCACAGAAUUUGACCCUACAGUUUUUGUUUCUUUUGGUUAGAUACAGAAGAUGAAAGCAGACUAUGCUUUUGGCCCAUUCGCCUUGACAUCUCAUAUCCAUCCAGUCAUGACCUCUAUUCAGAUCUUGGAAGGGUGAGGGCUAACUUGGUCUCCAGAGGAAGCACAAAAGACACCAUCAUGACUCCGGAAAAAUAUAUUAUACAUUCCUUACGACUAAGUUCGAUCUUGUCUGGAUAACAUCACCUGAGGCCUAAACUUCAGGGGACAUCUUAAAGAUGAAUCCGGUUUUUGUUUUUGUUUUUGUUUUCUGAUAAGGUCAAGGGGUGAUGAUUUUGUGUCACAGGAUAUAAACAAGAAGGGGAUCAUCUUCUUGACUGUCCACAAUCUUCUGUGUUUUCACCAGCAUUUAUAUAAGUACAAUAUAUAAAAGCUUUUGAAAGGACUCAAAUGUUCAAGUGACUUAUCUCAUGCUCAAUGGCAGAGUUAGAAAGAUAUGAUAACAAUUGCUUAUGUUUCUAUACCGUUAAAUUUUAUAAAGCACAUGUACUAGGUUCCAAAAGGUGCCAUAACACAGUACCACGAACUGGGUGUCUUAACAGAAGUUUUGUCUUUCACAGUGCUGGAUGCCAAAGGUCCAAAAGCAAGCUGUCUGUGGUGUUGGUUUCUUCUGAGGGCUUUGAGGGAGAAUCUGUUUCAUGCCUCUCUCCUAUCUUCCAGUGAUGACUGACAAUCAUUUCUAUUCUGUGGCUUGUGGAUGCCCUCAAUCCAAUCUCUGUUACUAUCUUCACAUAUGCUCCCCCUGCAUCUCCAUACAUUCUCAUGGCCAUCUCCUUAGAAGAAUACCAAUGGGAAGG